rnacentral:tRNA from 9 species
GGGCGGUUAGCUCAGCUGGAUAGAGUACAGGCCUCCGAAGCCUGGGGUCGUGGGUUCGAAUCCCAUGCCGCCCGCCA